rnacentral:rRNA from 1 species
AUUGAACGCUGGCGGCAGGCCUAACACAUGCCAGUCGAGCGGAUGAAGGGAGCUUGCUCCUGGAUUCAGUGGCGGACGGGUGAGUAAUGCCUAGGAAUCUGCCUGGUAGUGGGGGAUAACGUCCGGAAACGGGCGCUAAUACCGCAUACGUCCUGAGGGAGAAAGUGGGGGAUCUUCGGACCUCACGCUAUCAGAUGAGCCUAGGUCGGAUUAGCUAGUUGGUGGGGUAAAGGCCUACCAAGGCGACGAUCCGUAACUGGUCUGAGAGGAUGAUCAGUCACACUGGAACUGAGACACGGUCCAGACUCCUACGGGAGGCAGCAGUGGGGAAUAUUGGACAAUGGGCGAAAGCCUGAUCCAGCCAUGCCGCGUGUGUGAAGAAGGUCUUCGGAUUGUAAAGCACUUUAAGUUGGGAGGAAGGGCAGUAAGUUAAUACCUUGCUGUUUUGACGUGACCAACAGAAUAAGCACCGGCUAACUUCGU